rnacentral:rRNA from 1 species
AUUGAACGCUGGCGGCAGGCCUAACACAUGCAAGUCGAGCGGCAGCGGGAAAGUAGCUUGCUACUUUUGCCGGCGAGCGGCGGACGGGUGAGUAAUGCCUGGGGAUCUGCCCAGUCGAGGGGGAUAACUACUGGAAACGGUAGCUAAUACCGCAUACGCCCUACGGGGGAAAGCAGGGGACCUUCGGGCCUUGCGCGAUUGGAUGAACCCAGGUGGGAUUAGCUAGUUGGUGAGGUAAUGGCUCACCAAGGCGACGAUCCCUAGCUGGUCUGAGAGGAUGAUCAGCCACACUGGAACUGAGACACGGUCCAGACUCCUACGGGAGGCAGCAGUGGGGAAUAUUGCACAAUGGGGGAAACCCUGAUGCAGCCAUGCCGCGUGUGUGAAGAAGGCCUUCGGGUUGUAAAGCACUUUCAGCGAGGAGGAAAGGUUGGUAGCUAAUAACUGCCAGCUGUGACGUUACUCGCAGAAGAAGCACCGGCUAACUCUGUGCCAGCCGCCGCCGUAAUAC